CUCGUCUGUGUUUAGCAGGUUCAUCCACAGACCCAGGUAUGGGGAGCAUUGUAAAGGAACACGACAUGAGCGCAGCCAUAUUGACCUGCGAUUCACCCGAGCAGUGUGGAUGUGCCGUCGCUAUAGCAAUGGGCUAGUUCAGCUGGUGGUCUGAUCUAUUGCCUAGCAGAUGUAACCCAUAAUGGUUGUUAUUGUUUCCCUCUGGAAUGUGUGGGCGGUACUCUCGCUCCCGUUCAGCCCUCGCUCGCUCUCGCUCCCGUGCAGCCCUCGCUCUCAUGCAGCUGGAGAGUAUAAAAGGGAGAGGUUCGGUAAUAAAGCAAGCUAGGAACUUGAGAAGAAAGGUGCCUCCCGUCUCUCUGUCCUCGUCCUUUCAGGUUUAGGACCUGCUGGCAGGAUCCUGACGUCGCGGCUCACGACACCCAGGCACUCUCCUGGGCCAGCUGCAGGCUGGAGACAUCGGCAGAGGCUGGGCACGUGGAGGACCAGCCUGGUGAUGCUGCUGCCUAUUCCAGUGGAGGGGAGAUGCACUUCUGCAGCGACCCUGUGCUGUGCCUAUAGACAGGAUGCACCCAUGAACUUCCUGAGAAGCUUCUCAACACUUCACACAUGGCUGGAGUUGCGCCUGGCCUGUAGUGUCUGUUUAUCUACAUGGCAUCUACAUACAUGAUGAGAACAUAGCCCCUCAAGGCGGGACCAUCUGCUUCAACCAGCCCAGCUCCUGCACGAUGCUGAUAUUUAAUAACUGACCUUCCCGGGACCAGUGGUGCUCCUUGUGGUCUUCGUAGUCCUCAGAAUCUGCCCUGCUGAAUCACUAUAGGGAAAUAUAUUUGAAUAAUCUGCUCAUUCUGGGAGUGCAAAUUAAAAACUGUCACAGG
rnacentral:lncRNA from 1 species